UGUACACACCGCCCGUCACACCAUGGGAGUUGGCCACGCCCGAAGCCGUUACCCUAACCUUUUAGGAGGGGGGCGUCGAAGGUGGGGCUGAUGACUGGGGUGAAGUCGUAACAAGGUAGCCGUACCGGAAGGUGUGGCUGGAUCACCUCCUUUUAAGGAGACCUAUCUACUCAUUUAUGCAGUUUUUAUCGCUGAAUGAAGUAGGUCAACUUAGGUCGGUCAGGACUUAUUUGGGCGGCUUUCAAUAUUGUCGGGUUUUAUGGGCUAUUAGCUCAGGUGGUUAGAGCGCACCCCUGAUAAGGGUGAGGUCCCUGGUUCGAGUCCAGGAUGGCCCACUGAGUGGGGGUAUAGCUCAGUUGGUAGAGCGCCUGCUUUGCAAGCAGGAUGUCAGCGGUUCGAGUCCGCUUACCUCUACCAUUGACGAUAGUUGGGAUUAGAGAGUAGCACCGUACUUGCCUGUUAGGUGAGGUAAGCUGCUGAGCUCUAAGUUCAGCGACAGACCCUUGACAACUGCAUAGAGAGAAAGAGUCAAAAGGUAGUUAAAGACAAAACUAUUCGCAACGAAUAGAGAGAAGGUCAAGCUACAAAGGGCUCACGGUGGAUACCUAGGCACACAGAG
rnacentral:misc_RNA from 1 species